CAGCCGCCGCGGUAAUACAGAGGGUGCGAGCGUUAAUCGGAUUUACUGGGCGUAAAGCGUGCGUAGGCGGCUUUUUAAGUCGGAUGUGAAAUCCCUGAGCUUAACUUAGGAAUUUCAUUCGAUACUGGGAAGCUAGAGUAUGGGAGAGGAUGGUAGAAUUCCAGGUGUAGCGGUGAAAUGCGUAGAGAUCUGGAGGAAUACCGAUGGCGAAGGCAGCCAUCUGGCCUAAUACUGACGCUGAGGUACGAAAGCAUGGGGAGCAAACAGGAUUAGAUACCCCCGUAGUCCCUGUCUCUUAUAC
rnacentral:rRNA from 1 species